UUUAUGGAGAGUUUGAUCCUGGCUCAGGAUGAACGCUGGCGGCGUGCCUAAUACAUGCAAGUCGAGCGAACGGACGAGAAGCUUGCUUCUCUGAUGUUAGCGGCGGACGGGUGAGUAACACGUGGAUAACCUACCUAUAAGACUGGGAUAACUUCGGGAAACCGGAGCUAAUACCGGAUAAUAUUUUGAACCGCAUGGUUCAAAAGUGAAAGACGGUCUUGCUGUCACUUAUAGAUGGAUCCGCGCUGCAUUAGCUAGUUGGUAAGGUAACGGCUUACCAAGGCAACGAUGCAUAGCCGACCUGAGAGGGUGAUCGGCCACACUGGAACUGAGACACGGUCCAGACUCCUACGGGAGGCAGCAGUAGGGAAUCUUCCGCAAUGGGCGAAAGCCUGACGGAGCAACGCCGCGUGAGUGAUGAAGGUCUUCGGAUCGUAAAACUCUGUUAUUAGGGAAGAACAUAUGUGUAAGUAACUGUGCACAUCUUGACGGUACCUAAUCAGAAAGCCACGGCUAACUACGUGCCAGCAGCCGCGGUAAUACGUAGGUGGCAAGCGUUAUCCGGAAUUAUUGGGCGUAAAGCG
rnacentral:rRNA from 1 species